AGUUCUAUAGUCAAUAUAUGAUAUUAGAUUGCAAGUCUGAAGUAGUAAAAUACUAGAACUU
rnacentral:tRNA from 1 species